GAAGCCUCACCGUUACCACCCUGGAACUGUUGCUCUUCGUGAGAUCCGCAAGUACCAGAAGAGCACGCAGCUGCUCAUCAGGAAGCUUCCAUUCUAGAGGCUUGUUAGGGAGAUUGCCCAGGACUUCAAGACUGACCUCCGCUUCCAGAGCCAUGCGGUGCUGGCCCUUCAGGAGGCUACA